rnacentral:tRNA from 1 species
GGUAGAAUGGCUGAGUAAAGCAUUAGACUGUAAAUCUAAAAACAGAGAAUAAAUUCUCUUUCUAUCA